GUAGGUGGCAAGCGUUGUCCGGGAAUUAUUGGGGCGUAAAGCGCGCGCAGGCGGUUCUUUAAGUCUGAUGUGAAAGCCCACGGCUCAACCGUGGAGGGUCAUUGGAAACUGGAGAACUUGAGUACAGAAGAGGAAAGCGGAAUUCCACGUGUAGCGGUGAAAUGCGUAGAGAUGUGGAGGAACACCAGUGGCGAAGGCGGCUUUCUGGUCUGUAACUGACGCUGAGGCGCGAAAGCGUGGGGAGCAAACAGGAUUAGAUACCCUGGUAGUCCACGCCGUAAACGAUGAGUGCUAAGUGUUAGGGGGUUUCCGCCCCUUAGUGCUGCAGCUAACGCAUUAAGCACUCCGCCUGGGGAGUACGGCCGCAAAGGCUG
rnacentral:rRNA from 1 species